GGUGAAAUCUAUCCAGAAUACAAUCUAAAUACAGUCCUUCUCUCAUCUCUUCAGUAUUGUAUUUUCAUCCUCCUCAUAGGUAUUUAGCUUUAAGACAGUGCUGUCUGAUACAGAUCAAAGAAUCUGCUUAGUUUUAUUGUGUGUAUGUGUGAUUUGGCUACAUCUCAUUUUUAAAACUCCUGUACUGUACCAUCAUUAUAGUUUUACCUCAGGACAACCACUGUGCAUUUAUUAUAUGAGCUGAAACCAUUGCUGAAGACAUUUCAUAGUUGUGUGACCUUUCAGAUAUUGUUUGUCCAAACAUUUUGUGUUAUCCUGGGACAUCUUCCACCUGAUUUUCUGUCUGUAUGUCGUGCAUCAGCUGGGAUAGAGUUAAUUUUCUUUGUAGAGGCUUGUAUGGGAUGCUAUCAUAUUGACUUAUCAGUAAGGAGCUAGGGGUACACUAGAAGCAGGGAGGGGACACAACCAGAACAGCUGAGCUAAACUGGCCAAAGUGCAUUACUGGAAGUGGCAGAAUGCCUGCCUGGUGAUGCAAAGUAAUGAUUGAAAUCCUUGUUUUACUUUGCUUUUGUAUGCAACUUCUGCUUUACCUAGGAAAUUUUCUUUAUGUCUGCCCACGAGUUAUAGUCAUCAUAGAUUCAUAGUCAUUCUAGAGUCAUUCUAGAGAUAUAAGAAUCAAGAAGUCAUAAUCAAUGAGAUGUAAUGUAGUUAAAGAUUGAUAAGACAUCAUAGAAUCACAGAGUCAUAGCUGAGUUGUCAUAGAUUCCUCAUAAUGUCAUAGAGUAAUCAUAGUGUCAUUGAUUCUUCAUAGAAUCAUAGGGUGGUCAUGGACUGGUCUUUUACCUUUCCCAUUCUCUUCACAUCCCAUUUGCAGAGAGCAGGUAAGUGGCUGCGUGGUGCUGAGCUGCCUGCUGAGCUUAAACCACAGCACAACUGCUGGACAGAAGAGAAAGAUGAUUUACCUUUGCUCAUUUUAUGUCCUGUCUGUUUGUAGUUCCAAUUUCAGAUGUGUGCCAGACGCCAUGCAGAAGCAGCAGGGACUUUGGAGGGAGGCCACAGCUGCAGAGUUGCAGGUUCUCAUCUUGCUUGGUAUAUAGUAGAGCUUUUCAUCAUCAGGAGAUGGAUGGCAAAUGGAGUAAGACAAAUACCUUCCAUGGAAAAUAUUUGCAGAAUUAAACGGAUGAAUAUCAGGUACCUUUGAUUAGGCACAGAGAAAAAGUAGUAAAGGGGGAAAUCGAGAGAUUUAUUUCUUAUAUCUUGUCUCUGUUCCCCAGAAAAAAUGAAUUAAAAAAUUAGUAUAAUUCAGAUCAAAAAGCUCAUUCUUAGUACUGGUGGAUAAACUGUGCUGUGUAGUGUGAUUUAAAUGAGGAGAACUUCAGAGAAGAACUAGAAUCUUGGAAGAAUGUUUGGAAUUUAUUUUUAUAAAAGGUGGACAUUCACAAAUUUUAUUCAAAAUUUUUGUGGUGUAUGUUCACCUGUUAGGCAAUACCAUCUGACUACCAAGCUGCAUCAGUAUUUAAUUUGAAACUGUCAUUAUAACACUAGAAAAAGAAGUUUGUAAAGCCAAAGAAGAGACUUCGAUAAGUAGGCUGCCUUUCUGUGUGUGCUUUUCUUGUCUGAGCUUCUUGAAAUAUAUUUAUUUUCAUGCCUAUCACAUUGUUAAUGAGUUUUCUUCUAUAAACUGACCCUGACUGCUACUCUAAAAUAUAUUUUAAAUGAAGUGUGUCUAUACACAUUGAAUCAUACAGAGAUCUUGCUUGUUGGUACUUCAAAACUAAAUAAUUUUUUUGAAAGAUGACCGUUCAUGAACAGGCUUAGGGUCCAAGCUGUCCCAACAAAGCUCCCUCUAGAUCUUUUUCUUAUUUACCCAUCUCCAAAAUGGAUUUAAAAUACCACUUAACCCAGUAGCAUUUCACACCAUCUUUUCUUAAAUAUAGAUGAGUGUUCAAGGUACAAGACAAGAAAACAGUACCCAUUAUGUUCCUUAUGAAAUAGAAGCCUUAGAUGGUAGCAGAAAUUAGUUAAUUUUGGGUGUGACCAGCAAGUUAAACUCUUAGUGGGAAAAGAUUAUAGCAAAACAGGUUUUGUGUAUAAUUAGAAAAAAGAAU
rnacentral:lncRNA from 1 species